GGGUUCUACCGUUGGUCAGGCUAUAGUCUGUACUGGCGUGUGGAAUUUCUACCUUCUGGGGAACUAUCAUGUUAUUAAUUUAGCGUGGUAGGAAACCAGAACCUUUACCUUGAAAAAAUUAGAGUGUUCAAAGCAGGCCUUUGCCCGAAUACAUUAGCAUGGCAUAAUAAAAUAGGACGU
rnacentral:rRNA from 1 species